rnacentral:rRNA from 1 species
CUGGCGGCAUGCCUACACAUGCAAGUCGAACGAGACCUUCGGGUCUAGUGGCGCACGGGUGCGUAACGCGUGGGAAUCUGCCCUAUGGUUCGGAAUAACAGUUAGAAAUGACUGCUAAUACCGGAUAAUGUCUUCGGACCAAAGAUUUAUCGCCAAAGGAUGAGCCCGCGUAAGAUUAGCUAGUUGGUGGGGUAAAAGCCUACCAAGGCGACGAUCUUUAGCUGGUCUGAGAGGAUGAUCAGCCACACUGGGACUGAGACACGGCCCAGACUCCUACGGGAGGCAGCAGUGGGGAAUAUUGGACAAUGGGCGAAAGCCUGAUCCAGCAAUGCCGCGUGAGUGAUGAAGGCCUUAGGGUUGUAAAGCUCUUUUACCUGGGAUGAUAAUGACAGUACCGGGAGAAUAAGCCCCGGCUAACUCCGUGCCAGCAGCCGCGGUAAU